rnacentral:rRNA from 1 species
GAUGAACGCUGGCGGCGUGCCUAAUACAUGCAAGUCGAGCGAACGGACGAGAAGCUUGCUUCUCUGAUGUUAGCGGCGGACGGGUGAGUAACACGUGGAUAACCUACCUAUAAGACUGGGAUAACUUCGGGAAACCGGAGCUAAUACCGGAUAAUAUUUUGAACUGCAUGGUUCAAAAGUGAAAGACGGUCUUGCUGUUACUUAUAGAUGGAUCCGCGCUGCAUGAGCUAGUUGGUAAGGUAAGGGCUUACCAAGGCAACGAUGGAUAGCCCACCUCAGAGGGUGGUCCGCCAGCCGGACACAGAGACAGGAUCCAGACUCCUACGGGAGGCAACAGUAGGGACUCUUCCGCGAUGGACGAAUGCCUGACAGAGCAACGCCGCGUGAACGAUGAAGGUCUUCCGAUCGUAAAACUCUGUUAUAAGGGAAGAACAUAUGUGUAAGUAACUGUGCACAUCUUGACGGUACCUAAUCAGAAAGCCACGGCUAACUACGUG